rnacentral:tmRNA from 1 species
GGGGGCGUAUGGAUUCGAUCUCGCGAGGCAGGACGGUGUUGCGUGCCGGAGACGGGUGGUUGGCUCCGUUAUCAAUCCAUCCAAUGUCAGUAAAUGGCAAAGAUAACAUCAUUAGGGGUCUCAAGUUCGGUUCGAGAGAAUCGGCCCUUGCGGCUGCCUAGUACCCUAUGCCGCUCCUGGUAGCGGCACGUCGCGGGGGCUGACCGCCUGCUAGGUCUCCGCGGCGACAAAUAGCGGGCGGGGCCGCGGACCGUGCGUAUCCGCGGUCGCAUUUUACGCACUCGCUCGCGCGGUUUUGCCGCAGCAGACCGCGGCGGGUUAGACAAAAGUUGCGGCUACGCACGUAGAGGUACCGCCCGAGAGCGCGGGAGACGCGGGUUCGACUCCCGCCGCCUCCACCA